rnacentral:lncRNA from 1 species
UUCUAUUUUUGUUUGACAAGGAGUAUCCUUUUAGUUGCGUGAUGCCCUCUAACGGUCUAAGCAUUCUCAAAAUGAAUAAAUUUUCAAAUUAAUUAGGUUGUUAAGUUAUUUCUGAUAAUUGAUAUGCAGCCCCAUCUACAACAAAGAUGACUGGUCUCCAAGUGGUGAUGUCUAUGCUGGGGGUAAGCAACUUCAACUUCAUAAGAAUAUUGUUUAAUAUGCUUAAAUUUAAGAAUUCAGAAGGCACAGUUGCAUUAUCUUCUUGCUUGACCUGAUGUAGUAAUUAAGUAAUGCUUAUGAAAGUGAAUUAAUAUAAAUUAAUAUGCAUGAAACUGCAGGUGUUACUGGCUUGUCCAUCUGGGCAGUUACCCUAGUUGGCAUUCUUGCAGGGGGUGCUCUUCUUGUCUACAACACAAGUGCUUUGUCACAGUAAAAUUAUUAAUUAUUCAUCUUUGGUUGUAAUUUAUGUGUUGUUAAUAACUAUAGCCUGUCCCAACUAGCUGCCCUAAACAAGAACAUUAAAGAAAUACUCUGUGCAAACCUUAAUUGUAAUGUUUUGGCAUGGAUCCAGUUUGAUGCCUGUAUAUAUUGUGAUGUGUUGUAGAACAGUGAAUGUCCACUCAAAUAAUUAAAUAAUGGGCAAGUUGCCCUUCCACUGUCUGCCGAAGCUUACUUCCUACAACUCCUAUUUUCUAUAUAAAUACAAACCCCACACAACACCAAAGGGAUAAGUUCAUGGGAGAGAGAGAGGAAAGAAAAGGAAGAAAGAAAAGAGAGGAAGAAGAGAUAAGAGAAUAGGGAGAGUUAUCUUUGUACUCCUAUUAUUUCAAAUUAUAAUGAAAGUACCACUGCUGCCCCAAGGAUGUACUCCAGUCACACUGACUGUAGGGGAACCUUGUAAAUUUUGUGUUUUGCUUAUUUAUUCCACUGCACCCACCGUCGAUUUUACAACACGUUAUCAAGACGAGAAGCUCUCAUGUCAGUGAAAAGUAUAACGUCAUAAAUUCGAAUAAACACAAGUUGAACUUGCGGUACUAGGAGCAGUUUAGCUCUGAGAAGGAGCACCAGAAAAAUCACAUAAUAGAGAUGGCAAGCCAGACAUGACAAACAGGGAAGAUCAUCUUGUCCCAAAAAUCUAUCAAGCUUUCAUUCAUCACUUUUUCUUUUAUCACUCUAACUGUUGAUAUGAUGAUCCUUAUCCCUGCUAGACCUGCAAUCUCAUCUUUCUCUUGUGGACGAGAGAUGGAGAGAUCUUACAGACAAACAAAGGUGCAGCAAAACAAGCAAAGGUAUGUCCAUUUUUUGUCUCUCCCACCGCGCCAGAAGCGCCCCAUCGAAUUCCGGUGAGAAUUGAAAUUUACAACAACCUGUAGUCGUCACGAGAUAAGAAAACUUGUACCUGACAACUGGUUUCUAGAGAUUCAGAAGAAUCUCAUCAGACUUGGAAACCCAGAUCGCAUCGUUUUCGACGAAUCUCGAGAACUCCCAUGAAUACUCGGUUGUCUGAGAUGGUGAUGGCAUGACUGACUCCACACAUGCCUCUCUCUCUUGUGCCUCCAUCAACUUCGUUGUCAUCUAUGUCCCUAUAGGGAGGUUCUUGCUUCACGAUGCCGUGUUCUCUGGGCUAUGCAAGGAAAAACGAAGAAAACAAGGGGGUGGGAAAUGGUAUUCCUUAACUAGCCUAUCCCAUAGAAGAAGUAACAGUAUGUGGGGUUUUACAAAGAAAAAGGGGCAAAAGUAAUGGAAUGGUGCAUCAACACCUUUUGAAAAAGCAUAAGACAAAAUAAUAAAAUAAAAGGAAAAAUGAUGGUGCAUCAGGCACCAUGAGGAAACCAAGAAAGAAAACAAAUAAAUGAAAAAAAAAGGGCAAAUGUUUUUUGGAAUGGUGCAGCAUGUGAAUGAAAAAAAAUUAAAAAAAUUAAAAAAUUUAAAAAAAGUAAAGGCUUUUGGAUGGUGUUGCACCAUCUGAAAAGAAAGAAGAAAAAUAUAUAUAUUUAUUUAUAUGAAUGAUAUUGGCUUAAAAUAUUUUCACAAGUUCUGUUUACUUUAAAACAAUUAUUUAUUACAGACGGUUUUACCGCCUACUGCUUUAAGUUUUGAUUUAUGUGAAUGGUGCUGAAUUAAAGCUGUUGUCACAAACUUCAUUUACUUAAAUGCAAUUUAUUUACUAUGACUGAAAUUACCGCUUGUUGCUUUAAUUUACUUAUUGUACUUCUUUUGUUACGAUGAGUAUAACAAGGACCCGAAGUUCCUUGAUCAGAUCAAAACCUGUAGUUUCUUGAUCCUCAUCAUAUAAAAUGAUUGGACCCGAAUUUCCAUCAUACAAAAAGAUCGGGCAUGAAGUCCCUUGAUUCUCAAGAUCAAGACAUGAAGUUCCUUGAUGAGUACCUUAAGUUUGAAGAGCCGGAGUGCCAUAACUUAAUUGCAAUAAAGGCCAUAAGAGUCUCAGUCCAUAAACUAUUAAAUGAGGACUAGAAGUUCCUCAUGUUCAUACUCAAAAUGGUUUAGCAGAAUCAUUUAUUAACCAGAUGAAAUUGAUUACCCGUGCUCUGCUCAUGAAAACAAAAUUGCUAGUUUUAUACAUGGAGCCAUGUCAUUUUACAUGAUGCAUUAUUAGUUCGAUUAAGACCUAUUAUCAACCAUCAAUACUUCUCAGCACAACUCGUGUUUGGCUACUAGCCAAACAUUACACAUUUACGAGUUUUUGAUUGUGUUAUCUUUGUGCUUAUUGCAUUGCCACAACGUACUGAAAUGAGGCAUCAUCGCAGAUUGGGCAUUGAUGUUGAACACCAUCUAUCAUUCAAUAUUUAGAACCUUGACUGGGGAUAUGUUUACCGCGUGGUUUGCGGACCGUCAUUUUGAUAAGACAAUUUUCUCGCCGUGAGGGGGAGAAAAUAACAUCGUUCCAGAAGAACGAUGAGAAAAUAUCAUUCCAGAAGAACAGUGAAUGUCUACUCAAAUAAUUAAAUAAUGGGCAAGUUGCCCUUCCACUGUCUGCCGAAGCUUGCUUCCUAUGACUCAUAUUUUCUAUAUAAAUACAAAUCCCACACAACACCAAAGGGAUAAGUUCACGGGGGAGAGAGAGGAAAGAAAAGGAAGAAAGAAAAGAGAGGAAGAAGAGAUGAGAGAAUAGAGAGAGUUAUCUUUGUACUCCUAUCAUUCCAAAUUAUAAUGAAAGCACCACUGCUGCCCUGAAGACGUACUCCAGUCACACUGACUGUAGAAGAACCUCGUAAACUUUGUGUCUUGUUUAUUUAUUCCACUGCACCACCGUUGAUUUUACAACAUGCUGGACUUCUUUAUUUAUUUGUUUGAAUUUAUUUAGUUCUGAGCUGGGUUGGAUGUGGAUUGUAUUUGGCGGGUGAGUACAUUGUCCGUUUAUAUAAGGUUUAUUUUCCUUUGUCCCUAAUCUCGAGGAAGAGGGGAAUUGAACUUGAAAACUCCUUUAACAAAAUUGUGUUGAGAGCACGAAUUCAACAUCAAAGAAAAAAGCAUGCAUGUUAUAAGUAAUUAGGCUACUCCCCAUAUUAUUAAUUAGUUUUAUGGUAGAACUUCAACUUUCUUCAAGUUGAAACAAGUAUUACUAACCAAUAGUUAUGUACAUAUCAGUCGAUUGUGUAAAUGUCAGAGGUGUUGGGUAUGCAUGUUAGAAGAAGAAAGAAGAAAGAAACUUAAGCUUUCCAAAAGAAACUUGGAGUUCUAUUUAUUGAUUACUAAGAGCAUCUCCAAAGGAGAUGUCAAAAUGUCCAAAUCAGCAAUAACGGUAACAAAAGACAGUAUUAAUGUUUCCCAACCAAGAAGCCAAAUCUGAUGUGGCAUGACAUGGAUUGACAUCUCUCCUCCUUGUUGCCAAAUUUGACAACACCUUCAGAUUUUUUUAAUUAAUUAUUAAAUGCUUUUUAUUAAUUUUUUAUUGGUUUAAAGCAUUAUCGUUUUGUUUAUUUUCAUUCCCAAUGCAAAGAAAAUACAUAUGAAUUAUUAUUUUAUGUUUAAAAUUUGACAUAUCGGUUGAAGAGCAAAAGUUUAAAACAUGCCAAGUGCCACCUAAGCCUUCAAAUUUAAAUUUUAGAUUUAAAAUUUGACAUCUCCUUUGGAGAUGAUCUAAUUAAUCUACUUUAUGAUAAAAGCAUGACCAUCUCAAAUAGGAUAAAGUUUUUAGUAGGUUAGCCUUAUUAAGUUGAUUAUAUGCACGACAAAUCUCACAGAAGCAUAAAACUUAUAUUUUGGUUCAUCCAAAUCCACGAUAGUCUCAUCCUUUGUUAGAACUGCUCAUACGAAAAAUUUCUCAUUAACAUAAGCUUACUUUUAGUUUUCACCUAGAAUUUUCUAUAGGCAAUAAAGCAAAAGGAAAAUGAUUUCCUGACAUAAAUAGGAGAAUAAGAAAGGAAUGGAAAAACCCAACUGCAACAUAGCAAGGGGAAUGGAUACAAGAAGAAAAGGAGGACUAUAAAUUUUCUCCAUCUGUCAGUUGACUGGUUAUGUAGUCAUAAAUGUCUCUUGCUAUUGUAAGAUGUAUUAAAAUUGCUAUUGUCAGAUGUAUUAAAAUUAACAUACACAUACUAACUUUGUAUUUAACAAACUAUAUUAUCUACACUAAGGGGAGGAAGUAGGCUUAGUCUCACAAUGAGCUAGCAAUAAUGUGGUUCGAAUUCGCCUUUGGUGAGAAUCGAACAUAAGACAUCUCACUUACAAGUGAAAAGGAAUACCACUAGACCGUAGUACUAAGUGGCUACUAACUUUGUAUUUAUAACAUAAGGAAUUCGUCGAUUUUUCCCUUGAACUUGUAAGAACUUGCCAAUUUCCUCAUGAACUUUAAUCUUAGCUGAUUAUCCUCUGAACUUUUAUAAUUGGUCAGUUUCCCUCCUGAACUUUAAUUUUAGUUGAUUACCCCGUGAACGUUUAUAAUUGACUAGUUUCUAGGAAUGAAUCUGUUGAGAUGAGUAAUUACUUUUCUUAUUUGAAUUUGGAUCUUGAAUUGAAAUAUGUAAACCAAGAGCUCAUGUGAAUCAAGUCACAAGGAAGGCUAACGACAUGCACAACAUGUUGCUGAAAAAAACAAGACAAUGGAGAAAAUUCAUAGUUGUCUACAUUAGAGAUAAAAUUGAAACAAAGUGUACAGAGUGAACUAGAGGAAGAGAAGAAGAAUAAAAAAAACAAGAUAUUGUCCACAUUAGCCAUAAAAUUACCUUGCCACAUGUCGUGCACAUGACCAAGAUAGAUGGAAAAGGAAAAAUUCCAAAAUCUAACGCCAGUGAGAAAGUGGGGAAAUUGGCCAACUAAAAAAGUUUUUUUUUUUUUUGGUGGGUGGGGAGGGGGAAGUAAUUGGUUAAAAUUAAAUUUUAAGUAGAGAAAGAUUAUGCGAGAUUAGCUUUUCGGCAAUUAUCACGUGCAAAACACCUAUCCUUUAGCUGAGGGGAAGAGGACUACUACACCUCGAAACCCCCACCCGUCUCUCCUCAAAGCUUAUAAAAUUUUAUUAACAGAAAAGAAGAAAUAAUAAAAGAAAAGAUACAAAUGGGGGGACUAAGCCCACAAAGAGAAGUAUCAACAAAAACAAUAUUAAGGACAAAACGAAAUGUCACGAGCAUGAGUAGAAGCAAUGAACGAUGGAACUGUAGACCACCAAUGAUAAGCAUAACUCUUCACCCCGAAUGAAGCUAAAACAUUUGCAACUUGAUUGCCUUCUUAUAUAUGUGUGUACAGAUAAAUCGAAUAUGGCAAAGUUGCCAAAGAUAAUUUGUUCCAAUCCAUCAUAAGAAACCAAACAAUUGCAUUAGGAGCCUUAAAAAAGUAAUGAAGAACCAUGGUGGAGUCUGUUUCAAUUCAUAUAUACUUCUAGUCUCUAACCCAAGCUAUACGAACAUUAUAUAUUGACACAUAAAAGUUUUACUAUCGUGGGCUGAACUCGUAUGCAUAUUGUAAGAAGGAAGUUGUAUAAUUAUUCAUAUAGAGAAAUUCAUUGAUAAGUUUUAUUUUAAGAGUAGUGCUAACCACAUUUCUUUUACCCUUAUUCUAAUUGGACCUUAUAAAAUAGUGUGCUGACUUUUCCACGUAUUAGUGAAGAUAUAUUUUUUUUCCAAAGUAUUAGUGAAGAUAAUGGAUUUGAUUUUUUUAGAGGACCCCGAUUUAAAGGAUGCAUACGUGUGGUAUGUAUUAAAUCUUCGAAAUUUUUUUAUUAUAUAAAAAAUAAAUGAUUAGGUCAUACGAAUCUAGUCGCUUUAGGCCCUGUUUGGCAGAUCGGAUAGAGGAUCGGAUAGGACUAAUUAUACGGACGCGGGUGUUUGGCGUUCACUCGUACUAAAUAAGCGCCGGAUUAAAUUAACCGGUGUGCUUAUUUAGUACGGUAUACACCGGACUAAUAAAACCAACCAAAAGGCCGGGAUUAUUAGUCGGCCCUCUCUCUCUCUCGCCUUCUCUCGGCCCUCUCUCUCUCUCUCUCUCUAGGCGUCGUUGUCCUCCCCCCCGUCACCUUCUCUCACCAUCGUCGUCCUCCUCGUCGCCGUCGUCGUCCUCCCCUGCAACUGGGUCUUGCAAAGAAGCAUGCACUCUCUUGCCCGGCAUGGUGUCUGGGAAACCUCUCUUCUCAAAACGCCAACAAACUACUCUCAUUCUCUCUGUCAAACCGCCGCCAGUCCAUUCCACUUGCGAUGUUGCAGUGCAGGGGGUAACCUUGUCAACAAAUCGUUAGUUUGUUUCGUUUGUUGCAUCUUGAUUUGGGUUGAUGUGGAUCUGAUGACUCAUGGUUGCUCACCAAAUGUGCAGGCAGGCGGGGAAGAAGAAGGGAGAGAGAGGGAGGGCGUUUGAGGGGUCCGGCGGAGAGAACAGGGAAGAAGAAGGGAUGGUUUCAUAUUUUAUUUUUAUUUUUAUAAGUUUAAUUUAAUUUUAAGUUUGAUUUAGCCUAUCCGGUAUAAAACCAAACACAGUAUAAAUAAUACGGUUAUUAAUCCGAUACUGCACCAAACGCCCGAUUAAUUUAGUCAGUACUAUCCGGUGGCUAUUUAUCCUAUCCGACAGAAAUAGUCAGUACAGUCCGAGUUGCCAAACGAGGCCUUAAUGUACAUGCAUGAGAUGGUAUUUUUCAGAUAUUAAUUUUCAUUUUAGUAUUUUAAAAUAAUUUUAAAAUAAUUAAGAAAAUGCUUUAUGCAUCUGACCACAAUUUACUCUAUUAGAAGAGAGUGGAUUUAGCCUCCCAAUGAAUUUUAAUAGUGUAGUUCAGAUUCAUUUUUUGUCAAGAAUCGAAUUUAAAAUUUCUCACUUAUAAGUGAAGAAGAAUACCACCAGACCGCAGUACUAAGUGGCAACAUAUUGUAAUUUAGUUGAUAUUGAUCUUUCUAAAAUCAAGGAUGCCAACGCUUGCGGUCCUCGCGAAGCUGCGACCCACACGACUUCAGUGGCUUCUGAUGCUAACGUGACGAUUUUAUGAAGGUUGCUUUGGUUUCGUGGUGAUCGACGGCCGAAACGACAGGGGUUCUGGCUUGGGCCACCCACGCCUAUGCGGUCCUUGUCAAAAUUGUGGACGUUUAUCGGCUUUAAUCUUUUAGUUGUAAUUGUGGGGCUUAAAAAGACUUCAUUACUUUGGAGAUGUUUAUCUCACAAAGAAGAAUGUAAUGCAACGGAAUUGAUAGGCAAGAGAAAGAAAGAAUACUCAAAGUAUUACACAAAAUUUUUUAUUCACUCACAAACUAGUACAAGGGAAAUACUCAAACAUUCUUAGAAGCUUUGUUGCUUCUUCUCACUUCUCACUUGGCACUCUCACUUCUCACUACUUGCUCUCUUGGUUGUUACAAACGGUGUGGAUGCCUUCUCCUUUUAUAGGCAUGAAAGGAACCUUGGAGAAGCAUGGAAACAUCAUGCUAGAGAUAUCUAAAUAAUUCUACUACAUUCCUAAGUUAGAAUUAUCUACACUAAUCUUGUAUGUUGGUGGAAUCCUCACCAUUCCUCUAGACUCUUCCACCAACUUGAACUUUGCUAGAAUUCUCUAGCAUGUGCAUGGAUCUUUUUUUGUACAUGGGCUGGAUCCAUUAUCUUUGGGCCAAGACAAGAUUACAAUUCAACAGUAAUUUGUUAUUAUGUUUUGUUUGUAGCUGUUAGAGUGGAUUAGGCUAGUAGAUCAAGUGUCGCUUGGUCGAUUUGUUUGUGUUGCUUCGGCAAUUUGUGUGGCCUCGUUGUUUGCAGUGGCUUUAUGUGAGGCACUGGUUCUAGGUCUGUUGCAUCUGCUGUUUUUGAGGCAGAUUUACGUUGAAACUCCUCUUAGUUCUAGUGGUCUUUCUUGGUGGCCAUAGAGGAGUUUAAAAUGUUUUGUUUUCUUGUGUGAAUCAUCUCUAGAUCAAAAAAUUGAUCACUGAAAAAAUGUACUCAUUUGACAAAUUUUAUACUUGAUUGUUACUCGUAAUAAAAUACUCUCGUUUCUGUUAAAAAAAAAGUACUCCAAUAUGGAGAACUAAUAUUAUAAUUAGUUUAUGAAAAAAUGUACUCAUCUGACAAAUCUUAUAGUUGAUUGUUACUCGUAAUAAUAUACUCUCGCUUCUGUUAAAAAAAAAAAGUACUCCAAUAUGGAGAACUAAUAUUAUAAUUAGUUUUAUGCCCUACAUACCAAACCCAACGACCACAUUGUAUAAGAAAUUGUUUUAUAAUAAUUAGACUUGUCAAUCUCUGUUAGUUUUUCUGUUCUUCAUUGGUUUACAAUGCAAAUUUGUGUUAAAGUUGUUUAGCUCGAUACACAGUACUUCAUUUGACCAAGAACAAAUAGAUAGUACAAAUCUUUUUGGAAGCUAAUUAACCUUCAAAAUUGAAGUGUUAAGUUGUUUAGCUUUUAGUUUAUCAUGCAUAUUCUUGCUUUGAACUUUAAUUAUACUUAUGAAAAUACAAUGUAAAUACCCAAAAUUAUUUAGUCAUGUUGUACAUAAACUUCCGGCCAUUAAAUUAUCAAUGCGAGCUAAGAGUCCCGUCUUAUUGGUCAUUUAGCGACUAGAGAUUCAUAGUGAUCAUCAAUCCAUUCUUAAAUUUGAUAUCAAGGGUUGAAAUUACAAUCUUAAAAGGACAUAUUCAACUACUUUCCUCUUAAUAACAAGUCCAAAAUGAGCGAUCAUGGAUUGUUUGAUCACUUAGUAACCAAGACAGCAUUUACAUAAUUAAUUAUAAGAAAAACUAAUGAAAAAUGCUUGAAAUUUUUUAAGUUUUAACAAUAAGGACAAAUAAAGAGUAAAGUGAAUAGUACCAUGGUUGAUUUUUGUGUAAAAAUAUGGUUUUUCGUUAAAGUGAACAGUACCGGAAGCUUUUCGUUAAAGUUCCCUUUAUAAGCAUCUUUUUAAAGGAUGAAAUAGGUCUUGGACAAUAACAACAAACAUGUAUAUUAAGUUAAUUAUAAAAAAUAAAACAAAAAACUAAUAAGUAAUGGUACAUGCAUCGUGCAUGUAUCUCUUAUAACUCAACACAAAGCUAGUGUUUUUAUAUGUAUCAUCUUCCUCGCUCAGAUUCCUGACGUUUUGAUUACCAGAACCCACAGUCAGUCAUAAUCUUCCUCGCGAGGAGAAGAAUAUCCAACGCUGCCUUAAGAAUUUUUGUCAGCGAAUCCUUGUGCGGAGCUCACAAGGAUUUUGUUCUUUCUCUCUCUCUCCCCCUCUCUCUUUCACACACACAACACACACGCACACGUACUGUUUUUAAUCCUCAUUGGUUUUACAGAUAGGAAAGAGACAGUAAUAAAAUCUAUAAAUAAGACCGAAUCUUUUGGUUGUUAACUGUUAUGCAAUGUUUGUCAACACACUUAGCUAAGCAAAAUAGGCAAUUCUUUCUUUAAAAAGAUAACAAAAAUACAAGAAAAAAAAAUCCAAAGGAAGAUUAAAGUGUUCCAAGUGUACAUUUCAUCUCUUAAAAAAAUUAAUUUUUAGUUUAAGAAAAUUUAAAUCUCUUAAGAUGAUGACGACUAUUUUGUCAUAGAGUAGAUGGAAACCCCAAUUAACAAUGACUGGGUACCAUCAUUACCUACUAAUUAAGACAGGAAGAUGCUAGCUAGGGAGGUCAUAUUUUUAGACUAUAUUUUGUAAAUUACACUAUUGACGGUUGAUGAUUGAAUUCUUUAUUUAAAUCUAAUUACCAUCAACUGUCACACUAUUUGGUCUACAAAAUUGGUUUAAGUAGGUAAUUUCUCUAGCAUUACUCAUUAAGACAACAAUGUUGAUUGCAAAGCUUUUAAUAUACAUGAUAAAUUUAAAUAUGAACCACUAGAAACAAAAUGACGACAAACCAAAAUUCGUUAUUAAAAUCUAACCCCUGGAAAGAAAAACACAUUCAAAUUCCUAACUAGCUUUCAAACCAAAGAUGCAUCUUUCGUCCCUGGUUUUCAUACUUGAAUUUUGGAUGGGCAGUUAUGAAAUGUCAUUGGUGUGAUCUCAUGAUGUUUGAAUAAAUUCAAUCAUCUUAUCCAACAAGAAGAAUCUAGCUUCCAAUCCCAUCCAUGGUUUUAUGAUCUAAUUAACCUUCAAGAUUCCGCAAUGGAGGCAAGGGUUACACGUGCAAUGAAAAUAUUAAACUACAAUUGGCAACAAAAAAAGCAGUAUACUUAACCAGAUGCGAGAUUUAAAUACUAUAGCAUGAGGAAAAUACAAGCACGUACAUAUAUUAUUUUCUAUAUAAUUUUUAAUUUUUUACAACAAUCGCAUUUCUUCUUUCUGUUUGAAUUCUACAUGAUAUGAUGAGAUCAGUAGUGGCUCCAAAUAUUGUUGGGCAUACCGACAUCUGAUAGGUAGUUUUCUGAGCUACUUCCUUCGCCAAAAGCUUGGGAUGAGAUAAAGUAGGAAUUAGUAUACUUUCCAUCUUGGUAAGGUACUCAAAACGGUGAGCAAAUUUGUCCAUGAAAAAGGGCAAUAAAAUUGGUCAUAUGGCAACCCUCCUAAUGUAGUUGUGUUAUAUAUUAUUGCAGGUUUUUUUGGUUGAGAACUUAGUAUCAGAUGUAAUGAAAAAGGGUUGGUUUGUCUGCUGACCAUGGAACGCAACACUUGCUCAUUACUCUUGGGGGCUAGUCUGAGUGGUGUCUUAGAGAUUGGUUGGCCAUAAAUGAGUAAGAGUCCAUCAGGCAGGGAUUAAAGUGCUUGUUUCAGAACAAACUAAUUUCCCAUCUUUUGGAUAUCCUCUUUAUAAAUAUCUGCCACCAAAUUUCCUGCAUAGGAAAUAUAGUUUAGUAUUAUGUGAGAAAAAAAAAAAAAAAAAAAAAAAAAGAAAAAAAAGAAUCGAGUAUACCAAGUUUUCUAUGUAGGCCGGAUAAUGUUAUAUAUUCAACUUCGCAAUUAUAACUAUAUGUAAGUACUUAUACAUUUUAUCCCUUAAUGAAAAUACUUCAAUUUUGCGUUGAUCAUUAAUUUUUUUUCUUUCCUCAUGAUAUAGGUCUUUCUUAAGCCAAAGUAUUCUUAGUCCAAUUAUUCGGACUUUAAAUACAGAGUUGACAUAGAUGGAUUAGAUGAUAAGCUGAUUGUUAACUAUAUAAGGCGGCCAAAAACCCAUUAUAAUUUGAAGAUUCUAUAGGUCAGCUACCUCAGAUUAAAUUGCCAAAAUUUUCGGGAGAAAGUGGAGGAUUAUGGUACCUGUACAGCCUCGAAAAAACAAACUUUUCAAAAUCAGGGAUCUUAUUACAAUAAUGGAAACUUUUGUAGACCCACUUGCAGUUGCCCUCAUUACCUUUUAAAAUUCUAAGAAAUGCCUUUUGAAAUAUAUAUUAAUUAGAUAUAUAUAAUUUAUAUAUAUUAUAAAGGACUAAUUUUCUGAUUAUAUAGCUGACCUACUAUUUAUUAAGCUUAAUUCUUGUAUAUUAGGGUUUUCGGUAAUUUGAUGAAAAAGACCUAUGAUAGUUAUAGGAAAAGUGUUAUUAGCAUAAUUGGUUUAUUAAUCAUUUGCAGAAAUUGAGAGUGUACGUUCCUCCUAAAAUGCCAAUAAACAUCUCAUUUAUUUGAUUAUUGGUCGAUUUUGAGAAGGAAGUUGACGGAUCGUGAAGUAUACCUUGACGAGAGUUGGAUACAGAGAAUGAACCCGAACCAGCAUCCCAUCGGAUUUCUGCCUUGGAGCUCACCCCUUAGAAGCACUUUUUUUCAAUCCCAACAAGGCUUCCCUGCAAGGAUCGCCUAUCUUUCCUGUGGGUUCAAUACCGUCCAGUUGCACGGUUUGUUCGAAGGCCUUGUUGUUAUUGCGAUGUGACUGAAAGGUACCAUUUCUUUUCCUCCCACAAAGCCUUGAAAAUUGUCGCUUAGUGAGUCCCAACACUGAUUGGACCAUAAAACCUUUGCUAUUAUUCUAAGAGAAGAUUGGACGUAAACUAGGAUUUCACGUGGGUGAGAAUCCCCUUUAUUCGAUAAGUUAUAUAUGAUUGUAAAUGUGAUAGAAUGCACAAGCGGUAAAACAAACUCAAAAUCCUAAGCUCUGAGACAAACGACAUCAUGCAACAAAGAGACCAUAACCCUAAACGCAGAACUCUGAGACAAACAACAACAUGCCACAUGUAUUAUUUUCUUAAUGGGUUAAAACUUAGAGAGUAUAAUAGUUUUUUUUUUCCAAAUAAAGAGUAUAAUAGGUGAGGGAACAAUUAUAAAACAUAGCUAGAGGGUUUUCAUAAUGGGUAAUGUUACGUAAACCAAAUUUUGAAACCAAAUGAUGUAUCAUCAAUAGAAAAUAAGCGGCACAUUAAUUAAUACUUAAAUAAUAAUCCAAUCAUCAACAAUUAUAUCAUAUAGUUUAAAACAUUUAGUUUAAAAACUUGGUCUACCUAAUAUUACCAAUUCAAACAUGCACUGAAUUAAUCCUUGCCAUGCAUCAAUAAAUUUUCAAAUAAUAUAUAUGAUAUUUAUUUAUAUCUGUAUGUAUUUUUGUAUGUAUACAUUCUUACCAUUGGUAUAUUUUUCAGAUCAAAUCUGGUUUAUUCCAGUUUCAAUUAAAUUAAUAUGCAUUAUAUGCAGUGAUGUCAACCGAAGACUUCUUGAUAGCCAGCACAUGGCGACAAAAAAGCAAAUGGUGGUGACUCAUCAUCAUCCAUGGCCAAAAUAGCUGAAACCACAUCCAACUAUUAUGCAGUUGAUGAGGGGUCGGUAUCCAAGUCUUAAGAGAAAAUUAUUGAACAUAAAAUGGCAAUUGCCCAAGUCACCAAAAGGUUUUUUCUUUUUCUCUUUUGUGUAAUUCACAAAAGGUUUCCUUGCUUUAAAGUGUGAGUUGAUCGUGAAUCAUGCAUGGGUAAGAAUUGUAAUUCUUUUUUAUAUAUAUGUAUUGGCGUCUUGUCCUUGAGAACUUAAAAUAAAAACCACAUCUACAUAUAUGAGCGACUAUGUGUACGUCAGACUUUUACAUAUAUAUAAGCAAUCGUCAAUUGUUGAUGCAUGUAUAUAAAGCGGAACAACCAAUAAUUAUGGAUUGAAAACUGUUACUAAGAGAACUUCUAUCAAAUAACUGUUUUGUUAUAAUUAAAGUUAUUAAAUAAAUAGAAGUUUGAAGAAGAAUAUGUCUGAAAAAUAAAAGGAGAUAUGACUAGAGGAAGAUGGUGAGCCUUAAGCCUUCAAAUGGUUUCGGUGAGGAUGAGAAAACGAAAGUUUAAUUCCUUCCAACCUGGUUGAAUACACGUGUGUGGAUACAACGGGAUGGAAACUAGACUUUGGGGUUUGCUUUGUUAUAUAUCACAAUCACUAUCAUAACUUUUGGUUGAGAAAAUACAAAGAACGUCCAUUUCUUCAAAAGAAAUGAUUAAGAAAUUUUUGUAUUAUACACAAAAAAAGUAAAGAUAGGACCAUGGGAAAUGAAUUUGCCUAUACAUUUGGGAGCUUCCGGCCGAUCCAAACCAGCCUAUUUGGGAGCUUCCGGACGAUUCAAAAAUGCCUAUUCUGUAACUUGCUCUCCACUCUCUUCCGGUAGGGACCAUUAAUUACUAAAUAUAUUGGUGUGUGUGUGUGUGUGUGUAUAUAUAUAUAUAGAGAGAGAGAGAGAGAGAGAGAGAGAGCAAAAUGUUAAAAAUGUUUGUUGUAUACGCACGUAGACAGCUGACAGGUGUAGAUAAGUGUGAAUUCUAAAAGUGGGCCAUACAUCUAUCAAGCAUGGUUCAAAUUAAGUUGUCUACCCGCACUUGAAUGACCAAAGUGUGCUAAAGUUUGAUAGAUGAACCAUACAUCGUAAGUACUUCGUGAAAGAUAGGACUCAGUUCUACAAAACCUCAUUACUAAGUAAUUCUUAAAAUGUUUUUCAUUAAUCAUCACUUCUGUGCCACUCCAUCUAUAAAAUUUUCCUGAAAAAAAAAAUGAUUUCUACAAUUGUAGAUUUUUUUUUUGUAGUAGUACAAAAGAAGAUCAAAUUGUUAAACCUGGUGAAUUAGCUUCAACGGUGAGGAUGGAUAUUGAAAUGAGUUAGGAUUAGGCUAUGUCAAAAUUUGAUUUCCUCCAUUAUACGUAUCAAAAAAAAAAAAAAAAGAUAGUCAAAUUAUUGCCAUAACUAAAGCAUAGUUUAUUAUGAUUUGCUACCUAACUAGAUUAGGAUCCUACAAAAACGAGUGAACCUUAUCGAAGAAAGUUGAGGUUCCACCAUAAAACCAAUUGGUAAUAUAGGGGGGUAACCCAACCUCUUGUAAGCCUAUGUAAGACCAUCUCCAACCGAAAGAGGAUCAGAGGGCUCGUUUUAGCUCUCGGGCCCUCCAAGAAAUAAUAUUUUAAUGAACAGUGCAUGACCAUAUUUCUUACUAUCUCCAACCAAGGGGCCAGAGGGUCAUAGGCCAAACAUAGCCCUGUGACUAAAAACCAUCUCUAACUGAGGGCCUAAGGGCUAUAGUAUGGAAUGUGAAUAAUUGAAAUAAAAUGAGGUAAGAUAGUACGGAAUAGUGAAAAAUAUGUGAGAAAUGAUGUAAGAAAAAAAAUUAGAAAUUAAAAAUAAAAAAAAGUGGGCUGGGCAUAAAAAAAAAGGGCUGGAACAAAAAAAAAAAUCCUAAAUCCUAAAUCCUAAAGUAGGCUGGGCAAAUGGAAAAGAACAAAAAAAAAGUAGGCUAGCCAGCGGGCUGGCUGAAGAUGGCUAGCUAGUUGGCCCUUUGGCCAUUUUUUGUCCCGUGGGGCCCACGAGCCAUUUGGCCUAGCCCUCGGUUGGAGACGGUUUUUGAGCUAUUUUCGGCCCUCUGGACCCUUCGGUUGGAGAUGGUUUUAGAUCAUUUCUCCCAUCAAUGAGAGACUCAUUCUUAACACUUAUCACACAUAACGUUUAUUAUCAAGACAUCUUUUUUUAUUUAUUUAUUUAUUUUUUUUAAUCUUAAAUCCAUUGUUCUAUUCGAAGAUUAAAAGCAGCUUACAUAGCAUGAACGAUGACUAAUUAUAUACAUCUAAAAUUAAUGUUUUCUUAAUCCAGCAAACCCUAAAAGAAAAUGGAAAGCUAAAUGUCAAUAAUUAUAUUUAAGACUAAGGAAAAAAAGAAAAGAAUAGGAAAAUAAUGCCUAGAAUUCGUUAAGCAACUUGUAGUAUUAAUUGUAUACUAAUUAAUCACAAUAAUUGCGAGAACAUGCUAAUAUAUCAGCAUCACUUACCAAUCCGUCACAUAAUCAUAGGUCCACUCCUAUAUCACUAUAUUGGUAGAGGCCAUGACACAAAAAUCAACCAUUUUUUACUGACUAAACACAAGUCGCAUUUGGUUUUAUCGAUUACAAAAUUGUGGCAGACCAGCUGCAAGAACACAACACUUUGAACAAUUCUAGCCAGUCCGGUUGCUAUCAUUACCUCACCCACAAAUUUGGGCACAAACACAGCAAAGAAAAUAGUAUUUUUGAGUUGCCAAAUAGCUAUAAGUGUAGAUAUUUUCUAGAAAAACAUUUUCAAACAAAAAGAGAGCUGAAAACAGCAAUACACAUAUAUAAUCCAUUUUAACUCUCUUUUUCCUGGUUAUUAAUAAUUAUAAACUUAUAAUGAGGUUGUUAAUAUAUAUUCAUAUGGGAAUUACUGAACUUAAAAACUUAAAUGGCAAUUGAAGUUUUGCAUGAUCGCUAUAUAUAUAUAACUUCACGCAGAAGAAAUGAACAUAACAUGUGAUAAUAUAUGUGUAUAAGUGAAAAUCAAACUUACCAGGAAUAUCCCAAGGCUCACACUUGUUGAGGUCAACUUCAAUCAUAAGGGUUGAAUCAGACUGAGUCACCUUCUUCAUCAAAUAGUCACACACAAGCUCUUCAUCUCUUGGAUGGAACCUGAACCCUGGUGGCAAAUUUGCCUCCACCAUGCUUAUGUUGCUCAUUUUUUCCGGCGAGAGAGAGAGAGAGAGAGAGAGAGAGAGAGAGAGAGGGAGAGAGAGAGAGAAGGAGGACAAAGCAGGGAGAAUAUUUUGUUCUGAGAGAUCCCAAUUCUCAGACGAAGAAGGCCAAGUGGGAGGUGUAUAUAUAUGAAAACUAAUAAGAGGGGAAAGCAAAGCUGGGGUUAAGUCUAGUAAUUCCGUGUAAAAAUUAAAAUUAUUAGGGUUUGAAUAGCACAAUCCAUCCUUUAGGGGUAGAGGGGACUAAUUUAAUAUUGCCUACGUACGUGUACAAACCAAAAUCAGUGCCAACCUGCUGAUGUGCACAUUUAUAAUUGGGGUGGGGUUGGGGGAAAUUCAGUAGAGUAGUUUUUGGUCUUCUCCCCUUUCCAUCUUCUCUGGAAUUACUUUAUUAUUAUUAUUUUGUUUAUUUUGAGAAUUGUGAUUGAUAUUUUAAAAUUUUAAUUGUGCACUUUAAACUCUCUCAAUUAAGAAAGGGAAUUGUUAUUAGUCUCCAAAAAUCUUAUUUGGCAUUCCAAACUUUCUAUAAUUAGAAAGAAAAUUAUACUUGUGAGGAGUGUAAAAUGAGAUUUUUGGAGUGCUAAUAACAAUUCCCUUAAGAAGAAAAAAAAUCUUCAUAUAAGAAGUGCACAAUUAGGCUUUAAGAGUACCAAUACUUGUUUGCUUCAUUUUUAUGAUUUUUUAUACAUUCGAUAUAUAUUGUCUAUACUAAAGGGAAUAUUUUUGCUCACAACCCUCAAGUGAUGGUGAUGCUCACCACCCUAUUAGUCAUAGUUAAAUGAGUCUAAAUUUUGAGAUCUAUGUAAUGGAUAAACACAAAUUUCAAAAUUUAAACUCAUUCAAGUGUGAUAAAUAGAAUGGUGAGCAUUACCACUAUUUUAGGGGGUGAGCAAAAAUGCACCCCGCUAAAGGGUGGGAGAGUCUGCAAAACCUCACAAUAGGUUAGCUAUAAUAAUUUGGUUCAAAUUUGCCUAUGACGAGAAUUAAAUCUAAAAUCUCUCACUCAUAAAUGAGGAGGAAUACCAUUAAACUAUAUAAAUUUUUUUUUAUGAUUUUGUAUUAACAUUUUGGAUAAAGGAGAGAGUUGUCACUCGGCACCUGCACCUUAACCAACCAAUCCAAAAAUAGGUGGAUCUACUAUGAUGGCCUUCUUUGUUUACAUUUUCUAACUUUUUUUAGGGUACCACUAUGACUCUACAAAAAUAGACAAAAAUGACCCAUUUUCUUUAUCUUGGGACAAAAAUAGAAUUUUUCGAAUAUGCACACGGCAUGCACAACAAUAGGACAAAAAUAGAAUUUUUUCUACUCCUUGAAAUGACUUAAUUGCCCUCAUAAAUAAAUGGGUUAUUUCCUCCCAUUUUCCAAUUUCUCUCUCAACUCUCCAUCCAUGUAACAACCCGUCCUCAAAUAUUAUGGUUUUUAUAAUUUUAGAAUGUGAAUUUACGAAAAUGCCCUUCGACACGAAAUCAUUGACUUUUGUUAACCUUCGUACCGGGCAACAUAUGACCUAUCUAUUAGCAUUUUCUUGUAGCACUCGUCGCUACAAAUGUGUAGACGCAAGCAGAACGUAAUUUGGAAUUAUAACGAAGAUUUUACAAAGCUUGAAACAACGAGGGUAUUUUGGUAAAUUAUCAUUUUAAAGACAUGUUGUAUUGGGGUUGUGUGCCACGUGGGACCCACAGAUUGGUCCACAAUCUUCUGGAACUCUCUCCUUCUCCUUUCUCUCCAAUGAGCUUCUAUCUCUCUCUUCACUCUUUCGAAACUUCUCCCUUAUCACUUUCUCUCCGUGGCUCUCAUCCCUUAGCUCUUAUCUAUACCCUCUCAGCUUACCUUUUCUCUCAUCACUAUUUCCCUCACCAUUUACUCUUCCCCAUCUCAAACUAUCUCGCCCUCUGUGAAAGCCAGUGCAGCCAUGCAUUGCACCACCAUCAAUCGUCGUUAUCUUUGGCAGCUUCAUUAAGCACCCAUGAGCCCUGCUACCGCAACCUCCCUCUUUAUCUCUUCUCUGUGGUCAAGCCACCACCACCAUCGAACCUGGAUCAAGGCCUGGUACUGAACAAUGGCCAUUGCCACUGUUCCUUGUCUUCUCCGGCCAGCUCCUCUGUUUUUCAACUUGGGUAAGGUUCGAGAAUGCUUAAAAGUCCAUUAUAUUGACUUCUUGGUAUGAUUUCUGAGUUCCUCGUAUGAUUUGGUGAUGAAUGGAUACAGAAAUACCUUGGGGGAACUUCCCCAGUUUUUCGGCGAGGAAUUCGGUGACUUUCGAGCCAUUUUUCGGCCAACUCUGGCCACGACUGAGGAAACUAAUGGUAUGAUUCGAAUCCUUGUUCUUUGGGCUUUAAUUUGUAUAUUACAUUACUAGCUUUAGUUAAGUUUUGAGGAUGAUCAGAGCUUGGAAAGCUCCGGCUUUCUUAUUCGUGAAGUCUGGUCGACCCACGAUAUGAAAUCAGGUCGACUCGACCUAUAACCCAAAACUCGGCCCAACCCAGCAACCGGCCCAACCCAACAACCUAAAGCCCAGAUCCGACUCGACCCAGACCCAAUCUCAGUUCCCUGGGUCGGCGCGUGGAGCCCACACGCCUUCGCCGGAGGUACUGUGGAUGGCGGCGCUAGCGAAUUUUCCAACGACCCAUCUCGGCGUGUGCGGUGGUGCGUGAAGGAACCCGAGGUCCCUCCAUAGGUUUUUCAAUGUGCCAAAUCCAAAUCCGCUGUAUGUUUUUCCAAAUUCGAUCAUUUUAGUAAAGUUUUACUAAAUGGUCUCAAAUUGUGUUUAGGUCCGUCAAUGGGAAGUGACACGUCCUCACUACUUCGAGUGGCUCCGGGCAAUGGAAAAUCUGUGAGUGGACCCAUCCCUUCUUAACUUGCAUGUUUUUAUAAAAUAUUAGGCUUGUAUUCACGAAAAGCAUGAUUUCAUGAUUUAACGUUUUAUGCAUUAUUUAUGAUUUAUUGAAUUUACGUUUUACGAAAGGUUAUGAAUUAUUGGAUUUUCAUAUAUGAAAUUCUACUGAUUUACGAAUACGUUUUAUUAUGGAUUUAUGAGAUGAUGCUUUGAGCUUUUGAGCUAUGGUGAUUUGAUAUGAGAUUUUGAGAUAUAUUUUCGGUGCUUAUCUAGUGGGUUAUCAUACAACACAUACACACAACCGAGUAUGUAGACGUCUAUGGCCAUAGGACAGUUUAUGAGAUUUAUGACAUACUCCCAGCUUCACUAGCCCAGGGCUAGUGUCGAUGUGUUAUGUGUGUGUGUAUAUAUAUAUAUGUAUUUCUUCUCUGGCGUAACCCAGAGUCGUACAGCUUCAUCUUCGGGUGAUGGACCCCUAUUUUCUUCACUGGCGUAACUCGGGUACAACUUCACCUUUGGUGAUGGUUAUGCCUUCGGGCCACUAUAAUACCCCUAGUUGAGUACAUCAUGGAUAUGAUUUACGGAUGUUUUAUGGAUUUGCCUUUGGGCGACGAUACUACCAUUACUAAGCACCGAUUUACAUGUACAUGUUUUACAAAUGUUUUUUAUGGCAUGCUAGAGUUUUAAGAAAACCUAAUAUGUAGUACUAUAUAUGUGUUUUCAAAACAGGGGAUUAGUAUGUUCAUAAAGAAAAUGGUUUUCUUAUUAUUAGUAUUAUUAUUAAUAUUAUAAACUUUGGUCCACUCAUCCUUUGUUUUGCGCCCUCUUCAGGAGUUAGAAUCGAGACACACGAUCUCAGAGUCAAGAUACCUCCACAUAGGUAUCUUCGAGUCUUCUUAGUGUAGGACCUACUUUCUUUGUAAUCUCAGUUAUUUCAUAAUAAUCCUUUCACAUAUUUUGAUUAGUUGUAUGCUCUGAACACAUUUCCAUAUUUAGCAUAAUUCUUUCUAAUUACAUAUUUUGUCUGCAUGCAUGUUUAAAAUGACUUCGUCACCUUUGGGCGUCGUCCAGCAUGUGCCUACCCUGAUAUUUCAGAUAUCAGGGUCGAGGCGUGUCAAUCCCUCUCUCUCUAAAAUUGAUAUUUAUGGGCUGUUUUAGAUUAGUGAAAGAUUUAUUUGGAGAUUGCUUGUGUUUGUUGAUUGGCCCUUUUGGGAAAUGAAUACAUUUAUGUGCUUGCAUUUAUAGAUUGCAGAUUAGGGAUUUCUUCCUCAAAUCAUCAUCUUCUUCCCCAAAUUUGAAAUCCCAUUUAAAACCCAUCUAGGUCAAAACCAAUUUGCAAUCCAAAUUUUUUCAGAAGUCGAAGAAAAUCCAUUAUGAAAAACUAAAGACACCAUUUUUCUGCUGCAGUCUCUCUCUCCUCCACCGAUGCAUGCAUGCUCCCUUUAAGUUCGAAAAAAAAUCCCAAAUUUGUUAUCUGUAACAAUACGUGCAAUGACGUCGGUUUUGUUGUGGACGUGCAUCGUGUAAUUAACGGGGAUAUAUGGGGCCUAGAUUCUGGAAAUCCAUUAAAGAUCUAUAGUUUACAAAUCUUUGACCUGAACCUAGAUUAUGGAAAUCCCAUUAAAAAUCAUCUAUUUCCAGUGACAUGCACAUGAUAUGCUCAGAGAUAUGAGCCAACCCAAAAACCCAGAGCUCACAACUCUAUCUUCGAAAUCAGAAAAAUGACGUCAUCACCUGUGAUGUCACCACCAUAUACACUAUAUGCACUCGACAUGCACAUCAUAUGUACAGUACAUGCACAUGAUAUGCAUAGAAUUGAAGAUCGAGCAAUGAGCUGCUUUUCGCAUUAAUAAGAAACUUUAACGGUGACUUAAAACAUAAUUGUUAUGUAUAUAAGGUUACUGUGGCAGUUUGAAAAGUCUUGUUACGUAUAUCAACCACCGCUUAAUUGUAAAACCCUCCCCAAAUUUUUGUGUAAAUUUAUAUCAAAGACUACGAAAUUACAUUUCUACCCUGAACUUUUACCCUAUCUGGAUCCCUUUUGGGAUUUCCUAACAUUUUUCCUCCUCUCUCGGAUCUCUCUCAGCUUACUCUCACUCUCUUUCUCUCGCACAGACUCUCAUUCUCUCCCCGAUCUACACACACACACACCAACCUUCGAACCCAUACCCUACAGACACCAACCCUCAAACCGAUGACCUAUCAUCUAUCUCUCCAUCACCUCCGUGUAGCUCAGAGGCACUCAGAGGACACCCAACCCAGGUCCGACGAGCUGUGGGUGUACGAGCUCAAGUUCGACCACCUCCGGCUGUUUCACGAAGAAUCUUAGGUAACAAACACUCUCUCUCUCAUCUCUACCUUUAAUUUGGGUGUUAGAUCGUAGGUUAGUUUGGUUGAUCGCCGUUGACUGAAGCUCGGGAGGUUUCGGCUUUCGUUCCCGACGAAGAAAUGGGUCAACGACCCAAACCCAAAGAGACCCAGGCCCUUGGGGCCAUACCAGCUCGGGCCUUCAAGCCCAAGGCCUGAUAGAGCCCAAACUCAAAACCCUAUGGACCCAAGCCUUUGGGUCAUGCAAGAUUGGGCUUUCGGCCCAAGAAACCCAAACUCAUAAACCCUUUAGGCCCAAGCCCAAACCUGGUCCAACCUAGAAGACUAGCCGUCCAUGAGCCUGCACGUGGGCUACGUGUGGGUGCCUGUUGAUGCCGGCACGUGAAGCACACGCACCACCGUCCACGACGACGAAUUUUCAGAUAAUCGACGGCGAAGCGUGAGGGUGCAUGGGGUGGCGGGUGGGGGUACCCGAGGUCUCCUUUUAUGUUUUUCGACAUCCUAAAUCCGUUUAUGACAUCUGUUUUCCCAUAUUCAAUCGUUUGAGUAUAGUUUUCUUAAUUGGGCCCUUUAUGUGCUUAGGUGCAAUUAUUAACGGCGAUUCCGUUCUUCCUAUUUUGUACGGCUCUUCGAUGACGAAGUAACUGUGAGUGGACCCCUUCUAAAAUGCAUGUUUUAAUAUUAAAAAUGCAUACAUGGAAAACAUGAUUUAAUGAUUACAUUUUGUAAAACGUUUUAUGAGUAAAAUAGAUUUACACUUUAUGAUUAUCGUGCUUUACUAAGAAUAUUUUGGAAUAACAUACUUUAUCGAAUUUAUGUUCUUUAUAGUAUAUAGGGUAAACAGCCAAUUUAGUCCCUGAAUUAUCACCCUAGUGAAAAUUAGGUCCCUAAACUAUUUGUUUUUAGAAAAAUUAGUCCUUGAAUUAUAAAAAAUGCCAAUUACAUCCCUAAUGUUAUAUUCGAAGCUACAAUAUUCAAUUUUUCGUCAAUUUAAGUCACGUUACUUGCAUGUGAUACACAUUGAAGGUAGAUUGGUAGUUUUUCAUAAAGAAAUAGUGUAUGGAGUUAACUUUGGAGGAUAAAUUGAUAGUUUUUCAUAAAGAAAUAGUGUAAGUUAACUUUUGAGGGUAAAUUAGACAUUAAAUUCGCAACCUAUAUGAAAUGUUAAGGGCUUAUAGACAAGAAAAUGAUGGUAAAAGUGUGCCAAGUGACUUAAGUUGACGAAAAAUUGGAUAAAAUAACUUUGAAUAUAAUAGUAGGGAUGAAAUUAGCAAUUUGUAAUGAAUUUAGGGACUUAUUUUACCGAAAAAAUAAUUCAGGGACCUAAUUUUCACUGAGGUGAUAGUUUAGGGACUAAAUCGGCACUUCACCCUAGUAUAUAUGAUGGAUGACUAUAUACUAUUUAUGAACAUGUUUUUACACUUCUUUGUAGUAUAUAUGAUGGAUGACUAUAUGUUGUGAAGAUGUUUUUGAGAUAUAUGGAUUUAUGUUGGAAAGAGUAUAUUCAAUGUUUUUGUGCUUAUCUAGUGGUCACUGUUCUGCCUACGGGCGAAUAUACUUGUUUGUUGGCUUUGGGCCGGGAAAUAUAGUUGUUGGCUUUGGGCUGGGAAAUGUAGUACCACGGGUCACUAUGAUACCACUACGUAGCACACUAUAUGAUAUAUGUUUUAUGAAGGUUUUAUGGCAUGCUAGGGUUUUCGAAAAACCUAUUACAUAUUAUGCUAUUGAGUUUUCAUAAAACUUUGGGGGUUAGUGUGUUGAUAACUGUUUCAGUAUUAUAUAUAUAUAUAUAUAUAUAUAUAUAUAUAUAUAUAUAUAUCAACUUGGUCCACUCAUGUUUGUUUUACGCCCCCUCAGGACAUAGGAACGAGGCGUAUAAUCCGAGCUACGAGGCAUUCCCCUACCAGUGAUAUCGUGUCAUCAUCUCUGUUUUGACAUCAUUGUAAUAACACCUUCUGUUGUAUUCUGAAUUAGAUGUAUGCUCUGAACAUUUCAUGCACUAUCACUAUCUUUAUCAUUGUUGGCAGUUGAAUAUCAGUAUAUUAUUUUAUGUAGUUCGAACAAAAUUUAUACACACGAUUUACAUGUUCUCAGCAUAUGCAUUCAUUAAAUGGCUUGUGUCACCCUCGGGUGUCAGCCAUCACGUGGCCAUCCCGAUGUCCCUCAGACAUCGGGAUCUGGGCGUGUCAUCAACCAUGCAUGUGGAAAACAUGAUACUCAUUGUCGUUAUCUCAUGGACACACAUGACCCUUAACGUCCUCUAAGUUUUUUUCUUAAUUUUAUUUUUUGCUAAGGCCAACUAGGUUGUGGUCAUACUCGGUAAAUUUCGGGGCCCAACAUACAUGCAUUAUAACUAGUGAACAUUCCUACUUCUCAUAUUAAAUUGUAGCCAUGCACACCAUAUGCACACCACAUGCACAUUGCGGAAAAAAUUUCACAAAUUUUUGCAAUUGAACACUUGAACCAGAAAUUGUUCCAUUCCAGUUUUGUAGUACGUCAAAAAGUAAAGUUUAUUCCACAAUCCAUAUGCCCCAACAUGAAACACAAACCCUAAUUUAACUUCUAAGUAUUAAUUCAUCUUACAAGCAACCCAUUUAUUCCAUAAAUCAUUGAUGUAGAAACUUGGAACUAGAAUAACAAAACCCACAAACAAAUGAAAAUUUCCAGAACACAUUCUGAGCCCUUUAUUCCCUAUCCCUAUUUUCUUCGACUUCCCAUCUCUACAAAUCAAAAAACCAAUUGAAAAAACAAGUAAUUAGAUGCAUAAAUGGAGACGAUGACCGAGUUAGAAAGAAGGAGACGAGAGAGAGACAAACCAGAUGGCUGUGGAAAUAUGGCUGCCAAAGCUUCACUCGCCGGAAAAAUCUGGUACAAAGGUCAUAUCUUUAAGGAUCAAACACUAAUGCAAACUAGAAACCCUCACUUCGAAACUUCACUCUCGACUUCCCUCACUUCAAAAUUUGAGCUCAACCCAAAAACUCAGAGCUCACAGAGCUCUCACGACAUCCAUCUCUUCCAAAUGAGAAAAAUGAUGCAAUGAGCUGAGGGUUUUUAGUAUUUAUAUGUGGGUAUUUUAGUAAUUUCGAUUUUGUUCAUGACUUGUGCAUGGCCGGUUUGUCCUAUUUCUGUCAAUUAAGAAAAUGAGUCGUUUUUGUUUAUUUCCCAUGAAUCUAUGGUGGAAGAAUUUUUCACUUUUCCUUUUUUUAACCCAAUACCAAACCUAGCCAUAUAGUUGAUAUAUUUUGAGAAACCAAACAAAACCUAAAAUAAAUUGGUAAUAAGGUAAAUAGUCUAAUUUCUUGUAAGUAUAUGUAAAGUCUUUUAACAUUUUAUUUGGAACGUCAUUCUGUGUCUCCAUACAUUUUCUUCAUAUGUGAUGAAACUAAAGUCAAACACAUGAACAACACAUAUCAAAUAUGGUGACAAAUCCAACAGACUAAUCCCAUUGGGUUUGACAAAACCAUCAAAAUUUAAUUUUUGUACCAAUUUGGACGAGGAGGAAUCCUACCAAUUUGACGGGUAUCUUUUUGCUUCAUCUUUCGACUUUUAAUAUUUGUUAGCUUUUCAGAAAUCGGUUAAAAUUUUCUUAGGAUUAAGUACUAGUGUUAUUUCAAAUUGGUUUGAACAUUUUUAAACAUUCCAAACGAGUAUCCAACUUAUUGAAAAUGUCACAUUUGUUAAGCCCUACUUAAUUAUGAGUUAAAUGUACAUGUGGUAACCAUGGGUCUCACUUGUUAACUUACAUGGAUACUAAAUAAUAAUAAAAAUAAUUUCAAAAAAGACAUAAAGAUGAAAAUAUCAAAAUAAAUAAACAAAUUCAAAUAAAAUGGAAAACAAAAAUGAAGAUCAGAAAAUACCAAAGCCAUGCCACCUCCAAGCUCAACCUAUGACCACCGAUACCCCAUCCCAAUCUUUAUAUUCAAAACCCACCAACUCGGUAUAUCAUGGUCAACAUUAAUAUAGUUGCCUCAAAAUCUAAAUUUCGAACAUAGAUUAUAUAAUAUGGAACCCAAUGAUCAAACAUGUAUUAAAUUGAAUAAAAAAUGGACACACCAAAUUGAAAUUACAUCAGAAAUGCAAUCUCCAAUAAAGAAGAGGGUUAAGCAUUUAGAUAGCUUAAGAAGGAGCUUGUUUUUUUCUCAUGUGAUUUCCUCAUUCGCCAAUUCUCGGCUUGUAGAACUUCCUUUUUGUGUGUGUGUGUGUGUGCGCGCGCGCGGUGAAGAUGACAAUGACUACAUCAUGACGUUCCAUAGCAUUUUAGCAACCUCCAUGACCUUCUUCUUGAUGUUGGUGGCUUGAGUUGUAGGGUGGAGUUAGUGGUUGAUCGUUGGGUUUGGAGGUGAUGGUCUGGUGGGGGUGGUGGUGACCGUUAAUUGGUGGAGAUCAUGCUUCUAUGCUCUUCUAUUGAUUUUAUAUACAAAGUGAGCCUUGGUUAAUUUAAGAGAAAUUUAACAAGGGCUUAACGAAUGUGACAUUUUCAGUAGGUUUGGUACUUGUUUAAAAUAUUUAAAAAGGUUGAGAUCAAUUUGGAAUGACACUAAAAAGUUAGGGGAGUUUAGGUACGUAAUCCUAUUUCUUAAUAUGUAAGAAUGCCUCUAGUGUAUUAUGUAUUUUUUCGUUCAGAGAAAGCUUUAUUUCUUUUUUUAAUACAUUCGAUAUUUAUCCAUCUUAAGCGGUGGUGGAGUGGGGUAAACCUCAAAAUGAGCUAGCCAUGAUAAAUUAGUUCAAAUUUGCUUUGCCAAGAAUCGAACAUGACAUAUCUCACUUAUAAAUAAAAAAGAAUAUCACUAAACCAGGAUACUAAACUUUGUUUCUUUUUUAUAUUUUUUUAACAGGUAAUGAAGAUAUUUUCUAUGAAGAAUUUUCUCAAGUACUCCAUUUAUGUUUUAGCCAAGUAACAAGGUUUAAAUAUGGAUGAGGAAUGUCAUCUCUAAAUGGAUUAAGUAAUUGUCAAACUUCACGAGUGUGAUUACAUUUAAGAAAUAGGUGAUUCAAAUUUUUUUAAGAACCAAAAUGAAAAAAAAAAGUCAUUAAUAAAACUUCACGAGUCGUCAAAGGUGUGAUAUGUAUAAAGACAAAAUCUCAACAUGAUUGUAAAAGCAACAACCUCAAAUGCUAAAUUAAAUUGGACUACAUUCGUAUACAUAACCAAACUUGAACCAACGAACCCCAAAAAGAGCCAAAACGCUAAAUAAACCUUAACCCUAACUCAUAAUUUCCACCGCUUUCUUGAACACCCACAUGUGACAUGCCUAAUAUUAUGUUGUGAAUUGAAUUAGCACUACAGUUUCUAGGUUUGACAUGUACAACUGUUGAAAUACAUAUUUAAUUGGUCACAACUCAUUGCCCACUAAAUGGGCCCUUGGUCAAACACCUUAUCAGGAUGUCCAUUUAGCAACUCUUGCACAUAUUUAUGCCCCGAUGAAAUUGAAUUAUGGCAUGGAGUCUUUGGAUUGGAGCCACAAUAAAAUGUCACUCCUUUUGGAGUAGUGCAACUUUCUUUGGGGUGAAAAUAACAUCAAUGGACAAAAUGCCCAGUUCGUCGACCGUUUUCUUUAGCAAAACAGCAGAUUUGAAUGACCAAUUCAAGGCUAAUAAAGGUAGAAUAAAUCAUUUUGUGGUGGGUUUCCGUAGAUCAACUGUUGACCACAACAGAACUAUCUACAGCACCAAAAAUGUUUCUUUUCUUUUUCUUUUUAUUUUUAUUUUGUUGUCAAAAAGCAAAAACGCUAAAAGCCAUGAAAGAGACUGACGUUAUAAAAUUUGGACAAGAAAUUGAUAUUCUACCAGUUGGCUCCUUUAGAGAACAGACCGACGUGCAUUUUAACAUUUUAGCCGCCUGAUUUUAUUCAAACGCAGCCUACAACUACUUAGAAAACCCGGCCGGGCCGGCCCCUCAUGUUAGAAGCUCCCUCGUUUUCAAAGAAGAAAAACAUUACAAGAGCCCUAGGUCACCCACCCAAUGUAGAAUUUUUCAGGUCGACGGAUUGAGAGUCCAUGUGGGCCCAACCUAAAAUUCUAUUUAAAUUGUUUUUUCUUUGGCCAUCUGGCCGAUGCGGGACAAAUGGAGAGCCCUAGGUCACCCAAUGUAGAAUUUUUCAGUUCAACGAACUGAGAAUCCAUGUAGGCGCAACCUAAAAUUCUAUUUAAAUUGCUUUCUCUUUGGCUCUCUGGCCGAUGUGGGACAAAUGGAGAUUCCAACACUACCCUGCAAAAUGGGGUCUCAAGUGCAAAUCGACAUCGGGCAUGUCAGGACUCACCCAUCGUGCGGGGCCAAACAAGGAUCCAUGGGCCCAUCUCUGGCACUGAUAUCAUGUAGAAUUUUCCAGGUCGACAGGCCAAGGGCCCACUCCAACAACACCGAUAUUAUCUCCACUUUACCACCUGCCCAAUCCUCAGGUGUGAGAUUUUAUCACAAAAGGUUUUGGUGUUAGUUAGAGUGGGUUAAUUUUAUUUAAAUUGUUUUCUCUUUGGCCCUCUGGCCGAUGUGGGACAACUGAAGAUUCCAACACCCAACUGCUACAAACCCGGCCGUUCGGUAGAACCGGGAAGAGAAAAAAACCAAAUUUUCACCCCAAAUGUACGAAAUGACCUUGAGAUGCCAAGGCAUCCACAGUCCACUACAAAAACUAGCUUUCAGAAAGACGUGAUUAAAGGAGACGUGAUCAAAAAUUUGGAUACGGCUUUUGAUGGGAAAAGCUGACUUGGUAUUCUUUGUUUGCUGAUAAUAUAUUGUGCAUAACAGAAGAAAACAUACUUUUAAACAUGGAUUUAAUCUUCCUAGAAGGCUAGAACAAACUCUAAACCUAACUAAGACGAUGCCGUUUUGAAGAUGAGAACAUCUUCCUGGAUCAGAAGGAAGCAGAAAACAUCCUUUUCAAUUCCAAAAGAGUUGUGAGUAGUUAACUUUGGACAACCACAUGAGAGCUAGCCAUUGUGCAUGUCUAUCCGAAGAUAUAUAGAUUAAUUUGACCGAUUAGUUCCGCUGAUGUUUACUUCUUUUGUUGUUUUACCUGCAACGAAAGGAAGGAAGAUUCAUACAGUGCCGUUUUCAGAUAAGGAAAACCUCAUACCGUUAUGAGUGGUGUAGUGGGCUGUGACCAUGCGGUCUAAGGAACGUAAACGACGAAAACCAGUCAAACGUGAACUUACACAUGUCCUCUCUCAAGACCAUCCAAGUGUUACGACACAAACAGUAGUACCUGAAUAGACAAAUUAACCAAGGCAAGCCAAGCUUGCUUAUUCCAUUAAAACUAAACCUGCCUUAAAUGAGAUGAGAGGCUCUCCACUUUCCACACAGGCUUCAGAUCUUUAUUUUUCCCAUGCAAUGCUGCCGAAAAAGCUUCUUCAAAGAAUAUGCGUAGAGUUGUUUCUUAGUGUUAUAGAUCUUUUUAAGAGAACUAAUCAUUUGGGAGGGGAAGGUGACACAAUGAAAGCAGACAAAUAAUCUGUCUUUCUCAAUUCCCGCAUGCUUAGCCAACAGGGAUUUGAUGAGGCGACUGUGUUCAGUGGGUGCAUUCCUAUUGUUAAAGUUUUUAGAGAGACGUCUAUGAUCCAACACCAAUAUUUGUUUUAAACUUAUCCACCUACUAGCCACGUAGGACUGCAGGAGUAAUGUUUUAUCCUAAAAUGUUUCAGUAUAAUCACAAGUGAAACCAUGUAAUUAUAAUUUGUAAAUUGUUUUGUCGAACUCCCAAUGUGGGGUUUCCAACACCUAUCUUGCUACAGAAUAUUAUGUACAUGUAGUUUUAAAGUAUUCUCAAAUUAGCUCAGAAUGUACAAUCGUCCAUUUUGUACCAAAUAAGUUCAUGCAUCUUAAUUAAGUUAGUCUUAAAAAGAACAAAUGAGAUACCAUACCGUCCAAUAGCUUUAAGUUGUACUAAGAGAUUAAACGGACUAGAAGAAGACGGAAAAUAAUCGAUUUUCUUCACGAAACUUGGAGCACCGUCAGUUCUCCGCUACCUUCUUGGUUCAUGUUUUGCAACGCCGUUAACGAUAUCACCACCUCUUUCGUUCUGAAAUUUUCUCGUCGACAUCACCAUCUCUUUAAAUUAUUUAUCUUAAAUUCAUAGUUUUUAGGAAAUCUUCUGGUCGACAUCAUCAUCUCUUUUGUUCAAAGCUUUGGGAUUGUUCAACCAAGAAGAAGCUCGGAGGGGGUUGCUAGAAAUGAGGGGAAUGGGUUUGUAGGUCGAGUGCAUGUUAGUGGCAAUAGUGGAAAACCCAACAAUAGUCAGAUGUUUGAAUUCCAAUGGGAUUUAUCAUAUAUUUUUUUUAAUGUUGUGUAAAUUUUAAUUUGAUUUCGUACUUUCAUUUGCUCUCUUUCACGAUUUCUUGUUUUGAAUUUUACGUGUAGAGUUGAAUAGUGUUAUUCACGUACCUUUUUUAUCUACUACACAUCCUUGUUAACUUUUUUGCCUUUGAUAUUCGUCAAUCCAUUUGAUUCGACGGCUGAAAAUUAAGAUAAGUAUGUGAGGAGUGAAAAUAGGAGUGUGGAUAGCACUACCCUUCAGCGUUUUGUAGUUGUGAGUUGGCUGCAUUGGCUGUGGUGGCUGUUGGUGGAAACUCGAAGGAUAUUGAAAAACAGGGGAUAAAAUUGAAGGAUUUCAGAGAUUAAAACAAUCACUUUUGGAGAGUUGGUGUUUUGUGAAUCCGAAGGACCCAAUUGCUGAGCCAGAGGUGUUUAAUAGCCCAGUGAUGAAGAAUCAGAAGGGGGGAUGAUUAUUAUUGGGUUUUCCAACAAUCUGCUCAGUAUUUUCUUCAAAGGCGAGGCGGAUUCGAGAUCAUAUGCAGCUCAGUUUCAUUCAGUUUAUGGUAUUGACGUGCUGCCUCUGAUGAAACUUGCUCCAAAGGCAGAUGACAUGAUAAAAUGGGCAGUUGAAUUAGAAGAGUUGAAGAGCCUGCUUGCAAUGGAUUGAAUUAUGAUCUCGAAUGUAUAUUAUGUAAUAAAGGAUGAACCUCUAUGUUUUUUUCAUUGUCAAUUUCAAUCAAGGACUUUAUUGAUUUUCUGUACAAAUUGUUUCGCAUCGUUGAAGAAACAUACGGAGAGGGGAGUAGAAGGGGACUAAUAUAUAUUGCAACUUCGUUAAAUAGGAGUCGUGCUUGUUGAAACGAACUUUUUACCGAAAAAUUUAGACUUGUAUAUCUAGUUAGUCAUUCUCAUCUGAGUAAGAGAGAUUGAUUCAGAAUCCAAAUGAGAAAUGCUUGCAGCAGUAAGGAUUUAAAAAGUACAUAAUCGAGGAAUUUAUGCAUUUCGAUCAGAAUAACAUCUAUUCAGAAAGACACAAGUUUCCUUUAUCUUUUGAAUGUGGUUUGGUUUCCAUAACAAUUGCCUUCUUCUAGACAAGAAGAUUCAAGUUAGGAUGGAAAAAGAAUUUCUUUCUCUGAGCACAAAAGAGUGAAAAGCAAUUUCUAUCCAACACAAGUUAGGUCGAAGGUGCUUAAUUGUAGUUUCAACAUGUAUGCACUUGAAGUUACCGCCAUUGAAGCUCUUCUAUUUCAAGACCAGAUCAUCUGUUCCUCAUGACAGAGCUAUGAUUGAACAAAAUUUAUAACAAGGUCUCCUCAUUGUGCAUCCCAACAAAAUGCACCUAUAAAGUCGUACUUUUCAUCAAUCUAAUACGAGCAAGUUAUUGAGUUCUUCUCUUGAAACUACACAUUUCAUCAUAUCCUCAGCUUUAGGAAUGAAAUCCGGUACAUCAAUACCGUAAGGUGCUCGGAACUGAGCUGCGUAUGUUCUUGAAUCCGUCUCUCCAUUGAAGAACAUGCUGAGCAGAUUGUCUGAAAACCCACUUAUAAUUAACCCAACUUUAUGGUUCUCCUUCACUGGGCUAUAAAUGACCUCUGGCUCAGCAAUCUCUCCUUUAAGAUUCCAAAACACCAUAUCUGGCACAGUCAGAUUAUACCCUUUUCUUCUGUAACGACUCGAAGCCUCCUUAUAGUCAUCCCACCAAUCAUAUUUGAAGGCCUCAUUGAAAUCCCUGCAGGUGAACACAAAAAUCCGCCGGGGCAUCUUGUCAUGGCUUAGCUUUUGUGGGACUGCAAUGUCCAAAACUCUGUUGUAAAUCUCUAAGAAAUCCAGUUUCUCAGCACACUCUAUCUGCCUCAUUAACUCACAUUUGGACCGAAGAUUGUCUCCUUCAAUCUUAUGAAGCUUGGGAGUAUCACUGAAUGAGAAAACCAUUCCUUUCCAUGGAUUUUCGCUCAGUUCUGAAAUUAAUAAGCCCAUUGCAAUGCACUCCAUUUCCUUGCUUGUCCCUCUCAUGCCUGUGACGUCACAUAUUGCAAUACAGUUCUUGAGCUUCCCUUUGCUUGACAACUCUUGGACUAGUUGCCGCCAUUGAAGCUCAGCAAUUUCAUCACUACCCUUUUCCUUAUCCAAGUAAGCUGUGACUUGGUGAGGAAGUUUUAGCCAGUUUCCAAUGCUUAUCCCAAAAAUUGCAUCUAUCUUCAUGUAAAGCUCAAAGGGUAUUUUGCUUUCCUUUUCUUUCUUAAGGAUCUUCCUGUACCCUUGCAUAGCAAUCAGGGCCUCAAGAUUUGGGGAAGACGAGCACUUCUUUGUUUCGGUAGCAGCAUUCUCAUUCUUUUGCACAACAGCUGCAUUUGUCUUCACUGACAAUGACUUUAAGGCUUUGCGCAGAGGAACAAGCACUUGUUUGUGCAAACGAUAACGAACACUGUAAGUGUAAUGAGCUUCUUCAACAUAUUUGUACUCCUCAUAGCUGUGGCGUGGGAAAACUCUCUUUGCUAUGUUUUCACAUAGCAGGGUUGCUCUAUCAAAUUUAGAAAAAAUUGAAGGACAUAAUUUAGAAGCAAAACUGAUCUUUUCAAUCUCACCAGCCUCCAUAAACACGAGAUCUGAUAUCAAUAGCUCAGCAAACAUACCUGAUAUUCGAUCAUGCAAGUUUCGAAAAUGACGGUCAUUUUGGUACCUCUCAACCGCGAUUUUGGCACUGUCAAUUUGAAUUUCUAUUCCAUCUAUCUCUUUUCUAUUCUCUUCCUCAUAGACACAUUCUUCCUCCCCUAACCAAUAAUAGCCAUAUGGGUCAUAAACAUAGUAUCCACGGUAUCCAUAGCCAUAGAAUCCGUCCCCGCCAUAGCUAUAGCAUCCGUUGCAGCCAUAGCCAUAGUGUCCGUUGUAGCCAUAGCCACAGUAUCCCUCAUAUCCACAGCCAUAGAAUCCGUCGUAGCCAUAGUAUAAUCCAUUGUAUUCACAAGAAUAGUGUCCAUCGUAUAAUUCAUAGCCAUAGUAUGGCAUAGCGUCCAUUUUAUUCAUAGCCAUAGCACCCAUCGUAUUCGUAACCACGGUGUUCACCGUAUUCAACGGUUGGUUUUCCUUUGCUAUGGAGUCCUUCAAAACCAUAUAAAGGAUCCCCAAAAGAUCUUUGACUAACCCUAAUUCCACAAAAACCAUGACAUUCAAAGAAAGGGUUAAGGGGUGGUUUUCGUGCACCCACAACAUGGAUUUGUAAAACCCUUCUUUGCCGAUCUUCCCCGCCAUUCUUAGAGCAAAAGUAAGUCUGAGAGUGGUGAGAGGGUCAAAAUUCCAUGCCCUCUCUACAUAGUGGAUCAGAUCCUUCCGCCCCUGCUCGUGCCGGCCAUAGUAGCUGUAACUGGAAGGGGUCGUGGCUGGUAUUGGGGCGUCACUAUUAUUCUUCGUGCCGGCAUUGAAGAAUAAUUUUAGGCAUGGGUUCAAGAAGUGUGGGAAUGUGGAUGAAUGAUUAGACCGUUUUUGACCCAGUUGAGGGCCUUGUUUGAAGGUUGUGAUGGUGGGAGUUUCGCGGCGGUUUAUGGAGAAUUAGGCCGGUAGAGCUCCGGUGGACCCAGUAAUGUUUAUGGAGAAGUCAUGUUUGAGUUGUGAUGAGGGUUUGCAGAAUUAGUUUUUAAGAGAUAAGAGUCGGAAGAUGAGGACCCGUUGGGUGAGAGAUAUUGGCUUGCUUUGUGGCUUGUAUAUAGGAUCAGACUAGGAAGUGGUGCCCACGUUGCUGCGGGAUAAGAAAAUUCGUAGGUAAUAACAACUAAAAAAUUAUUAAAAAUAGAUUGAGCAUAAUUUGUAAAUUGUUCAGUUUUGACUAACGUUAUAUUAAUUUAUACAAACAAAUGCAUUGAGAUAUAAAGAGUAAGUGAAAUUGGAUACAUACCUGGGUUGAGAAUUUGGAUAACGUCUUAGAAAAGAUAAGUUUGUUGCAAUUUAGUACAACAAAGAUGGAUCAGAUUUAUGUAAAUUGGUAAACUCAGUUUUGAUCAUCUGGAGUAAAAAUCAUCAUUUCCGUCUUCUCUUCAGAGGAAUUAACUAUUACCAAUUUAUAUAGACAUCGUACCACUAAAGAUAAACCUUGUCCAUAUUUUCUAAAUUUGUGAAAGAACAUAUUAGAUUAAAAUAUGAGGAGAGGGUAUAUCUCUAGUACAAAUGUCUACUUUUAUACUUUUCGAUAUCCAAUUUAACCUUUCAAUAUGCAAGCAGGUAAUUUGCCAUGUAUUUAGAUCAUGUGAAAAGAUAAUUUGUAUAUAUAUAUUAGUAAUAGCUAAUUCCCCUAAAGAGAAAGCUUGACAAAAAUUGUAAUUAAAUGUAAAACGUCAAUAAAAAAAAUUAAUAAAGUAUUAAUUAAUUUUACAUACAGUUAUAAAACUAUAACGUAAAAGUAGCUCUAGAUUAUAACUUAAAGCAAAGAAUAUGUGAAAAUAAUGAUUCCAUAUACAAUUUAAAGCCAUAGUAUUGACAGCAACCAGACAAUUAUCAAACAAAAGGAAGAAAUAUAAUCUUUCACACAAUUUUACAAAAGCAAAAGGCACUUACAAACACACUCAAUUGCUAGUAACCUUGACAGCUGAAAGCUACUUCAGCAGCUGAAAUUACUGUAGGAACCGAGAUGCAGCAGAGAUUUUUUCAAAUUGAAAUUAAUCUGCAAAUGAUUGCAAACACAAAAAUAAUUCAUUUUCAAAUAAAGAUAAAACAAACUUAAAAUAUUUCCAGGGUACUUUCAAAAACAGGAGAAUAAAAACGAAGCUUUUAUCAACAUGACUCUCAAUUUUAUACAGAUUAGCAUAAUUCAAUUUAAGCACAAAACUGAAAGUCUAAUGAUGACAGAAUACAGUGUAAAUGUUACUAAAAUAACUUGUCAUACAGAAUAAGCAAGACUUUUAAACUACAAUAUUAAUCGAGCAAAUUUAUAUAUCAUUAUAAAUGUUAUCAAAAUCAGCUAGAAUACAAAGCAGUAAAGAUUUAUAUCCGAGGAUAAUAUUUUAGACAUUAAACUAUAAAACUACUUAGCCGCUCCUGAUAAGAAUACAAAAAGUUUCUUUUAACCACCAUUUUAAAAAACAGAACAACCAAUAUAUACACAAUCACAAAGCUUGAUCAAAUAAAAAAGAUGUAACAACACUGUGUGAAAGGAUGUCCACGUGAAGCUGCGGAUGCCAACCUGAUGUUACGGAUGCCUGUGUGAUUGAGAAUAACUUGCACUAAAUUCUAUAUAAAAAAGGGACAGAUUAACAUAUUUAAGCUAAGUAUUAAGAUGCAAACAUUCUUAAGAUAAGAAAUCAUAUAAUUAAACAGAAAAUUGAUAACGUAUUCAAUAAAAGUACAAAAGGAAAAGAGGUUAUAGAAAAUUACACUUUAAAUAUUUCCAAUUAGUGAUUAAUCACUUUGAUUAUUGGCAAUCUACAAACAAUGACUGAUUAACGUCAAAUGAAAUUGACAUAAAUUCAAAGAUUCAAGAAUUUAAUUAAAAAUUAUACCUAUACUAUCCGGACCUUAUUGUAUAUAAAUAAAAAAAUUAAAAAAAAAAUUCAAGGUUCCAUGAUGGAUAGUUUUAAAAAUCAGAAGCUGAGAUGAUGAUACCUCCAUCAUUUCUCAAACUCUCAACAUCCUGAAACAAUAAAGAAAAUCAACAAUGCAACAAACAUAAAUCAGAUACAGAAAAUAACAUACUGUAAAAAAGAUGCAAAUUUUUUCCCAAAGUUGAGCAGAAAACACACACCUUAAACUUCUCAAUCUAUUCUUUAGGAGUGCAUUAAGGACCCAACUGCAUUUUACUGCUUUCUUCUUCAAUCUUCCUGUCACUUGUACACUCAUCUGCCUUCCAAUCCUCACCAUUCCUUCACUAUCUGUAUAAAUAAAAAUUGAAAAAGAUAUAACACUCUUAAAUCAAACCCCAAAAUAAUUGGGUAAAAGCAUUUUAGAUUAAAACCCAAACCUAAACAGCUAAAAGGACCAGCACAUAAAAUUAAUAAAUGAAUUAAUAGAACAGUAAACAUAUAUUAGUCUCAAGAAAAAGAUAUCUAUUGGACGUAAUGUAUGCUUCCCACCUUAAUCAUUUUUAUAUUGUUAUUGUUAUCUUGUAAGUGCUGUUAUCAUGUUGGCUAGCACCCAGCGUAGUGCUGUAGUAGCGUACAACUUUUCCUUUCUUUAUUGUACCAAUAGCUCUCUUGCACCCUCAUGUUGAGCUCUUCUCUGCAUAAAUACUUCUUGUAAGUAAUCUUAAUCAGUCAGUUAUCAUGAAUAUACAACUUAUAUUAAUUUUCUACAAUAUCCAACACACAAACAUAACAGAAGAAGAAACUUUUACUUAAGCGGCGCAAAAGGAUAUCCUCUGCAUUUCAUUCCAAAAUCCAUCACUCUUAUGUCUUUGCCUGCACAGUUUUUGCUCCAACAUAGCCUGCCAUGAUGAUAGCACUAUCAAUAAUUAAGACAUAAAGAAAGGCUAUCCUAGCUAGCCAUUAUCGUUGGAGUAAACCAAUACCAUCGUAAGUAAAGUAGCAGACCAAGUUUUUUUAGAAUUGAUGUGUUAACAUGUUUAAGUAGCAAAAAGAUUACAACACAUUGGAUGUGUUAACACAUCCAUAAGCUGAUGAUUCCCUCUCCGGUUUAUCACAUCAUUCUUAAUAUAUUCAACAAUGAACUCACAUAGACUACGUUUUUUAACUGUCUCUCUCUCUUUCUGAUCAUCCACAUGUGUUUCUGAGAAAUGUUAAGCCAUUUAGCUAAAACACAAAAAAAAAAAAAAAAAAAAAAAAAAUCCCUCACCCACAUCAAAAAACCGAAACAUGCAAAGCAAAACCCAAAAAUUAAGGAUGACCAUCCCUCUUUUUUUUUUUUUUAAGUUUUAGGGAAGGAUCGAUGCACAGACAAUCGAUGUACAGGAAAACCCUAACCUAACAGACCAAAAUUUCCCAAGAUGAAAAAUGCAAUUAGAUGGAACAACCAAACACAAAUAUCAGAAAAAAUGCAUAAAACAUUCCAAAUAAAAAACCCACAGAC